GUGGGGAAUAUUGCGCAAUGGGCGAAAGCCUGACGCAGCAACGCCGCGUGAGUGAAGACGGCCUUCGGGUUGUAAAGCUCUGUCUUCUUGGACGAAGCUCCAGAAUGUUAAUAGCAUACUGGGAUGACGGUACAAGAGGAGGAAGCCCCGGCUAACUACGUGCCAGCAGCCGCGGUAAAACGUAGGGGGCGAGCGUUGUCCGGAAUUACUGGGCGUAAAGCGCGUGUAGGCGGGUUUAUAAGUCGGGUGUGAAAACUCUGGGCUCAACCCAGAGACUGCAUCCGAAACUGUAGAUCUUGAGGGCGGGAGAGGAAAGUGGAAUUCCUAGUGUAGCGGUGAAAUGCGUAGAUAUUAGGAGGAACACCAGUGGCGAAGGCGGCUUUCUGGACUGUGUCUGACGCUGAGAUGCGGAAGCCAGGGUAGCGAACGGGAUUAGAAACCCGAGUAGUCC
rnacentral:rRNA from 1 species